AUUCUAAGUACGACCCAUAAAAGCUUACAAACGAGUAUUUGUAAAAGAUGUGUGCACAAAAGCACAUACUGCCAUCAUAAAGGUGGCAUAAAGAGACAGAAGGUGCUGAUGUUCAUUGAGGGGUCUCACUCUGUCACCCAGGCUGGAGUGCAGUGGCCCAAUAAUAGCUUACGGCAGCCUCAAACUUUUGGGUUCAAGUGAUCCUCCCACCUAAGCUUUCCGAGUUAUAGAACUACAGGCUGCAACUAGUGUCUACCUCUCCAGGAGAGACAGUCCACCCAUUUCUGAUUGGGACUUAAUAUUACAGGUCAG
rnacentral:lncRNA from 1 species